GACGAACGCUGGCGGCGUGCCUAAUACAUGCAAGUCGAGCGCAGGAAAUCGACGGAACCCUUCGGGGGGAAGUCGACGGAAUGAGCGGCGGACGGGUGAGUAACACGUAAAGAACCUGCCCUCAGGUCUGGGAUAACCACGAGAAAUCGGGGCUAAUACCGGAUGGGUCAUCGGACCGCAUGGUCCGAGGAUGAAAGGCGCUUCGGCGUCGCCUGGGAAUGGCUUUGCGGUGCAUUAGCUAGUUGGUGGGGUAAUGGCCCACCAAGGCGACGAUGCAUAGCCGACCUGAGAGGGUGAUCGGCCACACUGGGACUGAGACACGGCCCAGACUCCUACGGGAGGCAGCAGUAGGGAAUCUUCCACAAUGGACGAAAGUCUGAUGGAGCAACGCCGCGUGAACGAUGAAGGCCUUCAGGUCGUAAAGUUCUGUUGUAAGGGAAGAACAGGUGCCGCAGGCAAUGGCGGCACCUUGACGGUACCUUGCGAGAAAGCCACGGCUAACUACGUGCCAGCCGCCGCGGUAA
rnacentral:rRNA from 1 species